UGAUAAUUAGUUUAAACCAAAAACAAAUGAUUUCGACUCAUUAAAUUAUAGUUAGAACUAUAAUUAUCAA
rnacentral:tRNA from 1 species